UUUCGCUCUUCAACGAGGAAUCCCUAGUAAGCACAAGUCAUCAGCUUGCGCUGAUUACGUCCCUGCCCUUUGUACACACCGCCCGUCGCUACUACCGAUUGAAUGGCUUAGUGAGGCCCUUGGAUCGAUGCUCGGAGACUGGCAACAGUUUCCGUUCGUUGAGAAGUUGGUCAAACUCGGUCAUUUAGAGGAAGUAAAAGUCGUAACAAGGUUUCCGUAGGUGAACCUGCGGAAGGAUCAUUAAUAUUUGGGUAGAGUACACUACUACGAUAGUGGAUUUCGCCUAAAUAUUCUUAAUUUUUUUAAGGAGCAAGAUACUUUAUAUUUAAAACCCACUCUUUGAGCGUAUAAAUUUAUGUAUUAAUGAUAAAUUAAAGAUCACUUUCAACAACGGAUCUCUUGGCUCUCGCAUCGAUGAAGAACGUAGCGAAGUGCGAUAAGUAAUGUGAAUUGCAGAAUUCCGUGAAUCAUCGAAUCUUUGAACGCAUAUUGCACUUUCUGGUAUUCCGGAAAGUAUGCCUGUUUGAGGGUCAGUUAAAUAAAAAUCGGUGUUGUUGCUGCUUUUCGUGGUGACGCGUCGGAAUUGAGUCUUCUUAUCUUCGGCUAAGUGACUUAAAAUUUUAUAUGAUUUUCGAACGUAUUUAAAUUGCUUACGUACGUUUGAGAUAUCGAAUAUUUUAUUAGGUUCGAUCAUCCUUAUGACUCGCGCCUAUAAUUUUUUCAUUAAAUGACCUCAAAUCAGGUAAGAAUACCCGCUGAACUUAAGCAUAUCAAUAAGCGGAGGAAAAGAAAAUAACAAUGAUUCCCUUUAGUAACGGCGAGUGAAGGGGGAAAAGCUCAAGUUUUAAAUCUGCUAGGUUUUACUCAUCAGAAUUGUAAUUUGAAGAAGCGUUUUCCGCGUCUCGGUUGACCCAAAUCCUUUGGGAUGAGGUAUCAUGGAGGGUGAGAAUCCCGUUCGGUUGACCUUAUGACGUUCUACGAUACGCUUUCUAAGAGUCGAGUUGUUUGGGAUUGCAGCUCAAAAUGGGAGGUAAAUUUCUCCUAAGGCUAUAAUAUCGGCGAGAGACCGAUAGCGAACAAGUACCGUGAGGGAAAGAUGAAAAGAACUUUGAAAAGAGAGUAAAAUAGUACGUGAAAUUGUUGAAAGGGAAACGAUUGAAGUCAGUCGUACCGACGAGAAAUCAACUUAUCGCGUGCGAACUUGUGGGCGUGCGUGAGUUUCGGCCUCGCUGUUUGCAUGCUUGUGCGUUUUGGGUGUACUUUUUCGUAUGGUAGGCCAACAUCAGUUUCGAUUACUAUAAAAUGACCGGCGGAAUGUAGCUUCGAUUUCGGUUGAGGUGUUAUAGCCUCUGGUAGAUGUGGUGAUUGGGACUGAGGAUUGCAACGAAUAUCCUUUGGGCUAUCCGUCUGAUCUCUGAAAGUUGCUCAGGUGCCGAAAGCGUGCUUACGGUCAUCUAAGUUGACGGUCAAUAGGUUAGAACGUGAUCACAUUCGUUAAGGAUGUUGGCGUAAUGGCUUUAAACGACCCGUCUUGAAACACGGACCAAGGAGUCUAACAUGUGUGCGAGUGUUU
rnacentral:rRNA from 1 species